ACAUUUUAUUUUGUGAUGUGAUGUGAGCGCAGGUGCAACCCAACAGGCCCCAAACGUUCCUGGCAGCAAGUAAAAAUGAAAUAUAAAAAUAUAGUCCAAACAGGUAAGGUGUAAUUGUAUUAUGAGCCAUAGUGCUUGGUCUGUUUGUCCUAUGUAAAUCAAUUGCAGUUAGAGGCUACAUUAAUUUUCUUUCUGUAAGCACUUAUUGAAAUUAUGUGAGCACAUUACAAGUACAUAUUUGCUUACUCUGUAUGCUCAAAUGUGACCCGUUAUAGCCAACAGAAAAAAAGCGGAGGCCUGAAAAACAGGUGGGGGUCCUCCACCACCACCACUCACAGAGGCUGAGCAGUUGGCCCUCAGCCAAAACAGUGGGCGCCCUGUGGCUGAAGGCAUCUCUGCAGGGACAUCCUCUGAGUCAAUAACCCCGCAAGACACAAGUGCCUACAUAAGAGGUAAAUUCAAAAUAAUACAUGAUGUGCAUACAUCCUUUCUUCACAGUCACCUUUGCAGUGCUACUCAUUCAUUUGAUAAACUCUUUACCAUAAUGAAUUAUUUUGUAGUGAAGUUAUCUUCCUACUGAUUUUGCCUUCCCUCAGUCUUGGUUGUCUUUGAGAGCAUAAUGACAAUGAACUGUAAGGUGAUUGGUAUAUGUUUGUUAAUUGCCAUUUGGUUCCUUGUAAGUUAUAAGUGACCUGUAUAAACCUCAUAUUCUAUCAGUUGAUGGUGAUGGUGUACUGCAUCUGGUGCAGCCUCCUGUUGAGCCAGAGCAACAUGCAGUUGAAAUUGAAGAAACAUUGACAGCUGUUACAGAGGAGGAAGCAACAGAGACACUUUAUGAGAGUGAUGAUGGGAAUGAAGAGGAAGAGGGUCCAGCCACUUCUCCAACAAACCUUUCCUCAGUAAGAUGUUCAGCACUGAUUUACAACCAACCUAAGUAGGCACGUACUAUGAAUGUCAAUGCUAUUUCCUGUGUUUCCAUAGCUCCCUGUAAAGCAGCUGUAUAAGAAAUAUUUGAUCAAGAAAAUAGAAAAAUGCGACUUGGAAAUGGAACACUUCAAGCAGCAGAUCCAAAAGACCAAGAUUGAGAUUUUACUGCUGGAACAUCAGUUAAGGGUGGGUGGUCAGAGAUGGACGAAUUAU